rnacentral:antisense_RNA from 1 species
UUAACUGUAAACUUCCACAUACUUUGAGACUCUACUAAAAUCUGAUCACCAAAAUGAUCACCAUCAGCUAAUGCGUUUAAGAAAGGUUGCUCCUCAUAUUUAGCAAUCCCGAUUUUAUUGACUUUACCAUGGGCGAUGAGAAAAAGCUGCUGGGCAGGCUGACCCGAUUGUACUAUGAUCUCAUCAGGUGCGAACUCUUGUUGUACAAAACGACUAGCUAAAGCCGUUAACACUUCAAGAUUAUCAAACCCUCGCAGUAAAGGUAAUUGACUAAGUUCUUGGGGAAUUACUUGUACCGUUGCUCCUGUAUUAGUGCAAGUAAUUCUUCCAUCACCUAAAGUAUAACUUAAGCGACGGUUGACUCGAUAAGUGCCACCUUUGAUUUCUACCCAUGGUAACAUCUUUAACAACCACCGUGAAGUAAUUUCCUGCAUUUGCGGUGCAGAUUUGGUUGUUGUUGCUAAGUUGCGGGCGGCUGCUGUACUUAAACUUUGUUGAGGCUGUCUAC